rnacentral:lncRNA from 1 species
UAAAUCAUCAAAGGCAAAGUUAUAACACUGUCUGUAACACACCGGGAUUGCUCAACAGAUGUGGUGCAUCAAAUCGUGUGCCCUUGCAGGGUACCUUGGCGUAUACAACGGGGCGUAAAAUUUUAGUACCAUGAGCUCAAUUGUGUCAAAUACAAUUUGUGUACUUCAGUACAGAGUAAAUGUCAAUUCCCAUGAAUCACGAUUGGUCGGUCGAGAAACUGGAUUGCAUGACAAUUCAAUUCAGUUAAACCUUCUCACUUAAAAUGAGUGUGUUGCUAGAAAAAUGCGAGGAAGCCCUCGAACUGAAAGGGCAAAGAAUGCAUUCAAGCUUACCUUCUCAUUAGAGCAUCCGAUUAAUUUCUGAAGUAAGUGUUCCUUAUUAGUACUUAGUAGUCAUAGGCCUGAAAAAACUUCUUCAUUAGUCACCAUGAAUCUGCAGCUUAAUUAAUUGCAUAUGAUCUAAAUAUGAGAUUAGUUCAAUAUGAAUUGAAUAUUCAGCGAAGAAAGAAAGCAUGUUCGAAAAUUUAACAACAGGGCAAUUUUCUAGCAUGUCAGUUUAUAUGUGACAAGAAACAAAUGAGAUUGAUCCUUGAAUGAAAAACUACAAGAUUAAUUUUUUGGAGUGUUCUAUUGGGCAAUCCAUCAUAUACAUUUCACUUUAUUAGAGCACCUGCCUUGAUUGGAUUCCUGAAUCGGCACAAGAACAGAUGCAGCAUGCAUUCGCCAAUCAUUCAUACCAUAAUAUAUUGUACUGCCACCUAAGUAAAGCUUUGCUGAUGCGUGUCGUACUGAACGAGAUGAACAACCAAAAGGAAAUUGAGAUGAGAUUCCCCAUGAUCACAUGACUGACAACAAAAUUGAAGAUGUGUACCUGAAGAACCAAAUGUUUUGCCUCGGUGCUCCGUGAUUUGUUCGUUUAGUUAAGCUGCUCAGGUGUGAGGCAACAUCAUCGUCCAGGUGCCUAUCAUGUCCAGCCACAAGUCACAAGCGAGCAUUCUCCGGGCGCCGUGCUAAUAUCCAGUCGUGAGUCGGCAAUGUCUACACGCCAUGAAUGAUCCAGGGGCGUUGGGAUUUUGUCCUACAACAACGAUGUUCAGUAGGGCGGCCCCAGCGCCCAUCGGAUGGGAGCAUCCUGUCGCGUGGAGUCAGCAUCACCAAACCUUCCUUUAUGUUAAAUCUUAAUAAUCAUAGUACUGUUUCCUACUUUGAACUUAAAUCUAUAUAAAAUAAUCCAUCAGUGGCAUGAUUACACAGAAAAUAAAUUGCUGAUUACACACAAACGUAUGGAGUUCAUAGAAUCGAUCACCAGACGACAAGUCACCUAUACUAAUGCAUGCAUACAAUGUGAUCAUACAAGGCCCUUUAUACCAUUGAUUGAAGCAGCCACUGAUGGCAUCCAUGAGUAGGGAUCUGAGUGCUCACGUACCUGAUCAGAAAGAGGAUAGUACGUAGUACUGCUGCAUCCGAGUUGAAGCAACAGUACAGCUCGACAGGCACGAUGCUGUGUGCGUCAGGUAUGGAUGCUGCUUGCCGUUCAGCCUGAUGGAAUCAUUCCUCUUGCUCUUCGACCUGAUGGGAUCGUUCAUAUCAC